GUCUUUUAAAACAGGCCUUAUCUGGUAUGUGUUGAUAUCACUGUUAGUCAUGUCUAAAGAAUCUGAGCUGAAUCUUUGUGUGAGUUUGGCUCCUGAGGCACAGUUUGGCAAACCACAAAGAUUCCUCACCCUUUCUCCAUCACCAAACUAUUAACCCUUCCAAGGCAGGCAUUCAGCGGAUUGAUUCAUCGAAUAAGUGGGCUAAAGCUUGACACAGCAGCUCAACACACAGCCUCCUAAUGACUUAACCACAUCAACUCUGUCUUUUUUAUGCUGUUCACAUCCCCUCCACCCCACCCCAUCUCUACCUUCAGGCACCAACCGUGGCUGGUAUAUGGCAGAGCCCAAACAGCCUGGCUGUAGUGAGACCAGGUCGGGCCAAUCAAAUAACUGCACGGGGAUCAAGUCAGUGCUGCUCCAAGACGCCACAAUGAGCCAAAACGCAGAAGUGUUCCCACCACAACAAGCCGUACAGCGAUGUGUUUCUGUGUGUGUGUGUGCGUGUUUAAAACACCAGAUAAACAGAUUUAAAAACAUUAAAGAAAACUAAACCCAUUGCUUCAUUUUCCAUGUGAUUCGUCAGUCCUUCACCC
rnacentral:lncRNA from 1 species